GACGAACGCUGGCGGCGUGCUUAACACAUGCAAGUCGAACGGAAAGGCCCUGCUUUUGUGGGGUGCUCGAGUGGCGAACGGGUGAGUAACACGUGAGUAACCUGCCCUUGACUUUGGGAUAACUUCAGGAAACUGGGGCUAAUACCGGAUAGGAUCUCCUGCUGCAUGGUGGGGGUUGGAAAGUUUCGGCGGUUGGGGAUGGACUCGCGGCUUAUCAGCUUGUUGGUGGGGUAGUUGCUUACCAAGGCUUUGACGGGUAGCCGGCCUGAGAGGGUGACCGGCCACAUUGGGAAUGAGAUACGGCCCAGACUCCUACGGGAGGCAGCAGUGGGGAAUAUUGCAAAAUGGGCGGAAGCCUGAUGCAGAAACGCCGCGUGCGGGAUGACGGCCUUCGGGUUGUAAACCGCUUUCGCCUGUGACGAAGCGUGAGUGACGGUAAUGGGUAAAGAAGCACCGGCUAACUACGUG
rnacentral:rRNA from 1 species